GCGGUUUCGGCUGCGCGACGAGAGGUGGCGGAGGACGUCGGUGACUGAGCACGCCGCAGGGCAGCACUCCUCCAGGACAUGAGCAGGGAUGCAGGUGCAGCAUACCUUGGAUCAGUCCAGAAUGACUGAUGAUCCAGAGUGGGGAGUACUAAUGUAGCGUUCAUGAUCUUUGCCACUGCAACCAUAUCACUUAUCUGUAAGAAUAGUUUGGGAGGAACAUGAGUUAGCUGAACUCAGUGACAAGAUAAAGUGUUUGAGCAAGUAUAUACA